rnacentral:rRNA from 1 species
UACGUAGGGGCCUAGCGUUGUCCGGAAUUAUUGGGCGUAACGAGCUCGUAGGCGGUGUGUCACGUCGGCCGUGAAAACCUGCAGCUUAACUGUGGGCGUGCGGUCGAUACGGGCAUCACUGGAGUUCGGCAGGGGAGACUGGAAUUCCUGGUGUAGCGGUGAAAUGCGCAGAUAUCAGGAGGAACACCGGGGGCGAAGGCGGGUCUCUGGGCCGAUACUGACGCUGAGGAGCGAAAGCGUGGGGAGCAAACAGG